rfam:Oryza punctata chromosome 6, whole genome shotgun sequence.
UUUAAGUACAACCAUAAGUUUUCGUAUCCAACUUUGACCGUCCGUCUUAUUUUAAACUAUUUGAAACAUUUUUAUGAUUAGUAUUUUUAUUUUUACUUAGAUGAUAAAACAUGAAUAGUAUUUUAUGUGGGACAUAUGUUUUUUAAUUUUUUCAAAAAAUUUUUAAAGAAGACGAACGAUUAAAGUUGAACAUAGAAACUGAUAGCUAUACUUAAA